rnacentral:rRNA from 1 species
AGCAGCCGCGGUAAUUCCAGCUCCAAUAGCGUAUAUUAAAGUUGUUGCAGUUAAAAAGCUCGUAGUUGAAUUUCGGGAUCAGUACGCUGGUCGUGCCUUCGGUAUGUACUGGUGUUACUGGUUCCUACCUUCUGACGAACCGUCAUGUCAUUAAUUUGGUGUGGCGGGGAAUCAGGACUGUUACUUUGAAAAAAUUAGAGUGUUUAAAGCAGGCUCGCGCUUGAAUACAUUAGCAUGGAAUAAUGAAAUAGGACGUUCGAUCCUAUUUUGUUGGUUUCUAGGAUUGACGUAAUGAUUAAUAGGGAUAGUUGGGGGCAUUAGUAUUCAAUUGUCAGAGGUGAAAUUCUUGGAUUUAUUGAAGACUAACUACUGCGAAAGCAUUUGCCAAGGAUGUUUUCAUUAAUCAAGAACGAAAGUUAGGGGAUCGAAGACGAUCAGAUACCGUCGUAGUCUUAACCAUAAACUAUGCCGACUAGGGAUCGGAUGAUGUUAAUUUUUUA